CAAUGAAUGUUGGGUAAUGUUAAAACGUGAGCAAGUAUGUCUUUGGCCUGCAGCAUUCUGUGGCUGGUCUGUGAUUGAAAUGGCUGUUUUCUUUUGGCAGAAACAGAAGAUCCACAAAGAUUAAACAAGGAUGUUUUCAAAUAUGCUGUUUUAAAGCAUUAUGUAGCAUGGAAAAAGAAAUAACUGGAUUGUCAACAAAACAUCAAGUAAAAUACUUCAAACUUCAGGAACAGAUCAAGAGUUGAUACUUCAUUACAUUACUUGUUACAAUUACAAACAGUCCUAUUUUAAAGUUUUUACAAUGUCAUUAAUGUCACAUAGUACAGGAGAUUGGUCAUAUUGUAAACAGUCGCCGAACACAGUGUAAUGGGUUUGCGGUAUUCCACCAAAGGUUAGAGUUCCUGAAGUAAAAUUAUUUCGAUUGAUUGA